rnacentral:lncRNA from 1 species
GGGCAGGCACCGGGGAAACCCAGCGCCAGGCCGCAGCGGGCACCGCCGCCCCUGUCAUCUCGCGCCGCCGGCCAUUGUACGGAGCCAUCACAGGUAAAAUACGUGAUUUCAGCUAUGCGCAUAGGUUCUUUGGAUGUCGGCUUGUAGACUUGUAGUUUGGCAUUGGGCGCAUAUCAGAAGGGUGAUUAGCCAUGGAUCUCUUUGUUCUGCAGGCUCAUAAGAUUGAACGGGUUUGGGGCAGCAAUAUCUGUCAUGCGUUCAUAUUUAAGCAGUCAUCAUGCAGGUAAGACGACAUGCAGACUUAAUCUCGAUUCUCGUUUUGUUCUUAUGGGAAGGGGCCCGGGGAUGCAAGUGACAUACGCAUUAUGUCUUUCGUGUAGUCUGGUUUUUUUUUAUGGAUUUGCUAUUGAGGGUCCGGAUGCUCAUGACCUUUUCGCGGUACUGACAGGUCUUGGUAACGUGGCAUGUAUGUGUUGCCAUUGUACAUGAAUCAAUGUUUAUAGUUAGGAUUUUUCGGUGCAUGGGAUGCGCCAACAUGUACGUUGGGAAAUAGCAGUAGCGUAUAAAUCAACGUUGUGUUUCCGUCUUGAAGAGUUGUACAUUUUACCAAUGCUCUGAUUGUGCAGAACUACAGCAAGCUCAACAAGCUGCCCACGAUCGUUGAAGAGGAUGACUCAGACAGGGGCGACGGGUAUGACGGUCCUACUUAGAUGUUCAGUGCAGAAGGUUUACUCUUUUAUAUCAUAUAGUUUGACCAGCAGAAAAGAGACAUUGUUAUCUCUAUGGGUUGGGGUGGCACUCUAUCCAUCCCACUGAUUAGCAAGUUGAGCGUCAGACAUAUGGUUUGGCUUUUAGGGAUGGUGGAUAAGGUUAGACAAGCCAUUAUCUUGGGGCCGAAUAAGGUAUUUAAGUUCAACGAGAGCGACGUUGAGAAGAUAUACGGAAUCCCGGCAGCUGGAACAGAUGUGAUGGACAAAACCCAGGAAUAAUGGUUAUAUACGCGUACAAAGAACUGAUUAAUGGUAUAUGAAUCCAGAAACUCAUUAU